GAAACAGGUGCUAAUACCGUAUAACACUAUUUUCCGCAUGGAAGAAAGUUGAAAGGCGCUUUUGCGUCACUGAUGGAUGGACCCGCGGUGCAUUAGCUAGUUGGUGAGGUAACGGCUCACCAAGGCCACGAUGCAUAGCCGACCUGAGAGGGUGAUCGGCCACACUGGGACUGAGACACGGCCCAGACUCCUACGGGAGGCAGCAGUAGGGAAUCUUCGGCAAUGGACGAAAGUCUGACCGAGCAACGCCGCGUGAGUGAAGAAGGUUUUCGGAUCGUAAAACUCUGUUGUUAGAGAAGAACAAGGAUGAGAGUAGAACGUUCAUCCCUUGACGGUAUCUAACCAGAAAGCCACGGCUAACUACGUGCCAGCAGCCGCGGUAAUACGUAGGUGGCAAGCGUUGUCCGGAUUUAUUGGGCGUAAAGCGAGCGCAGGCGGUUCCUUAAGUCUGAUGUGAAAGCCCCCGGCUCAACCGGGGAGGGUCAUUGGAAACUGGGAGACUUGAGUGCAGAAGAGGAGAGUGGAAUUCCAUGUGUAGCGGUGAAAUGCGUAGAUAUAUGGAGGAACACCAGUGGCGAAGGCGGCUCUCUGGUCUGUAACUGACGCUGAGGCUCGAAAGCGUGGGGAGCGAACAGGAUUAGAUACCCUGGUAGUCC
rnacentral:rRNA from 1 species